rnacentral:rRNA from 1 species
AACGAACGCUGGCGGCAGGCUUAACACAUGCAAGUCGAACGCAUCGCAAGAUGAGUGGCAGACGGGUGAGUAACGCAUGGGAACAUACCCUUUUCUACGGAAUAGCUCUGGGAAACUGGAAUUAAUACCGUAUACGCCCCACGGGGGAAAGAUUUAUCGGGGAAGGAUUGGCCCGCGUUGGAUUAGCUAGUUGGUGGGGUAAAGGCCUACCAAGGCGACGAUCCAUAGCUGGUCUGAGAGGAUGAUCAGCCACAUUGGGACUGAGACACGGCCCAAACUCCUACGGGAGGCAGCAGUGGGGAAUAUUGGACAAUGGGCGCAAGCCUGAUCCAGCCAUGCCGCGUGAGUGAUGAAGGCCUUAGGGUUGUAAAGCUCUUUCACCGAUGAAGAUAAUGACGGUAGUCGGAGAAGAAGCCCCGGCUAACUUCGUGCCAGCCGCCGCUGUAAAAC